rnacentral:tRNA from 1 species
CCACCCAUAGCUCAAUUGGCAGAGCAGUUGCCUCUUAAGCAAACGGUUCCAGGUUCAAGUCCUGGUGGGUGGA